UACGAAGGGGGCUAGCGUUGUUCGGAAUCACUGGGCGUAAAGGGCGCGUAGGCGGAUUGCUAAGUCAGGGGUGAAAUCCUGGAGCUCAACUCCAGAACUGCCUUUGAUACUGGCGAUCUCGAGUCCGGGAGAGGUGAGUGGAACUGCGAGUGUAGAGGUGAAAUUCGUAGAUAUUAGGAAGAACACCGGUGGCGAAGGCGGCCCACUGGAUCGGUACUGACGCUGAGGUGCGAAAGCGUGGGGAGCAAACAGG
rnacentral:rRNA from 1 species